rnacentral:rRNA from 1 species
GACGAACGCUGGCGGCGUGCUUAACACAUGCAAGUCGAACGGAAAGGCCCCAGCUUGCUGGGGUACUCGAGUGGCGAACGGGUGAGUAACACGUGGGUGAUCUGCCCUGCACUCUGGGAUAAGCCUGGGAAACUGGGUCUAAUACCGGAUAGGACCGUGCUUUAGUGUGUGCGGUGGAAAGUUUUUCGGUGCAGGAUGAGCCCGCGGCCUAUCAGCUUGUUGGUGGGGUAAUGGCCUACCAAGGCGGCGACGGGUAGCCGGCCUGAGAGGGUGUACGGCCACAUUGGGACUGAGACACGGCCCAGACUCCUACGGGAGGCAGCAGUGGGGAAUAUUGCACAAUGGGCGCAAGCCUGAUGCAGCGACGCCGCGUGGGGGAUGACGGCCUUCGGGUUGUAAACCCCUUUCGGCAGGGACGAAGCGUUUGUGACGGUACCUGCAUAAGAAGCACCGGCUAACUACGUG